AGGUUGUGAACUAAGACAUAAAAACAACUGUGGAAUGAAUUUGCCUUUAACAUUUGCGAAUAUCGCGAACUGACAGCGCAUAAACAUCUUGUCCGAAUUCCCGUGGCAGACAAAGAAAGUAAUAAAUAUUUGAUUUCUACUUGUUUUCAAGCACAAACAUUCAACUCGACAAGGCAAAGCCAACUGUCACGGCAAAGAGCAAAAUGUUCUCAGGCUGCCUGGCUGGCUGACUGGCUGAAAGACAAACAAAUCAAACAAUAAAUUGAAAUUCGACUUAUUCGAUAUACUUGUGUGUACUCGUAUAUUCAUGACGCAGCCAGCGCCAGCAGAGGCAACUCGCCCAAAGCCAGGGAUAUGUCAGCCCCAAAGAAAAGAGCAAAAGUUGCAAAACAAUCAAAGACAGCAGGAAUCAGUUUGGCACUCUCGUGUGGCUUAUUAGUAUCAGGUGGAGAUUCUGGUGGAAAUCCCACACACACAGCGCUAAUGCAUUACGACGAGGCGAAAGGAAGAAAAACUGCGACAAGGGCAACACGUGGCUGAUCCGAAGAAUAACUACAAAACUUUUUGGAGUAUAGAAGCAAUAAUGCUCUUAUACUUAUAAAGAAAAAAUUUGAAUUCUGAGUGGUCAACGCAGGUGCCUAUUAAAUAAUUGGACGGAUAAUUGAUGCGACCACGCAA